UACGUAGGGGGCAAGCGUUGUCCGGAAUCAUUGGGCGUAAAGAGCGCGUAAGCGGUCCGGUAAGUCCGCUCUGAAAGUCCGGGGCUCAACCCCGGGAGGCGGGCGGAUACUGUCGGGCUAGAGUCCGGAAGAGGCGAGUGGAAUUCCUGGUGUAGCGGUGAAAUGCGCAGAUAUCAGGAGGAACACCAAUGGCGAAGGCAGCUCGCUGGGACGGUACUGACGCUGAGGCGCGAAAGCGUGGGGAGCAAACAGG
rnacentral:rRNA from 1 species